ACCGAGUUGAGGGUCUGCGUCCUUAAACCGACGCGCCCGAACCUCCCAACCCUUUGUCUACUCAACCUCUGUUGCUUCGGCGGACCGUGUCCCUCGGUGAUUAUUCGCCUUGGGACCGCCGGGGGCCUGAAAUUGGUCCCGGGAGAGCCUUCGUCCGCCGACGGCCAAUAUCUCAAACUCUUGUACUAAACUACGUCGUCUGAACACAAACUAUGUUUUGAUUGUAUAAUCAUAAAACAAAACUUUCAACAACGGAUCUCUUGGUUCUGGCAUCGAUGAAGAACGCAGCGAAAUGCGAUAAGUAAUGCGAAUUGCAGAAUUUCCGUGAGUCAUCGAAUCUUUGAACGCACAUUGCGCCCAUUGGUAUUCCGAUGGGCAUGCCUGUUCGAGCGUCAUUAUCCUCCCUCAAACCUCGUGUUUGGUGUUGGGUCUUUCUUGGGGGAGAGCCGCCUGCCGUCCCGGCAUCCGACCCCCCCCCAGACCCCAAAGACAAUGGCGGCGUCCGAUGGGAUCCCCGGUGCAACGAGCUUCUCCGGAGCACGCACCGUGGCGGUUUCCCUCGGCCCGGUCGUAUAACCUUUUACUUUAACCAGGUUGACCUCGGAUCAGGUAGGAAUACCCGCUGAACUUAAGCAUAUCAA
rnacentral:rRNA from 1 species